rnacentral:rRNA from 1 species
AGCGAAGCGGGAAGAGCUCAAAUUUAUAAUCUGGCACCUUCGGUGUCCGAGUUGUAAUCUCUAGAAGUGUUUUCCGCGUUGGACCGCACACAAGUCUGUUGGAAUACAGCGGCACAGUGGUGAUACCCCCGUACACGGUGCGGACGCCCAGCGCUUUGUGAUACACUUUCAAUGAGUCGAGUUGUUUGGGAAUGCAGCUCAAAUUGGGUGGUAAAUUCCAUCUAAAGCUAAAUAUUGGCGAGAGACCGAUAGCGAACAAGUACCGUGAGGGAAAGAUGAAAAGCACUUUGGAAAGAGAGUUAACAGUACGUGAAAUUGUUGGAAGGGAAACGCUUGAAGUCAGACUUGCUUGCCGGAGCUUGCUUCGGUUUGCAGGCCAGCAUCAGUUUUCCGGGGUGGAUAAUGGUGGUUUGAAGGUAGCAGCCUCGGCUGUGUUAUAGCUUUCCACUGGAUACAUCCUGGGGGACUGAGGAACGCAGCGUGCUUUUUGCGAAGGUUUCGACCUUUUCACGCUUAGGAUGCUGGUGUAAUGACUUUAAACGACCCGUCUUG